AAAAGAGGAGGAGAAACAAUCGGGGGAGGACUGCAGGGGGUCGGCGCUCGCCAGAGGCGGUGCCUUCUCAGGCGGGACCCUGGCUAGGAGAUCGAGAGGCAGGAGGAGGGAUCAUGAAACUCAUGAAAACUGUUUGGAAAUUACUGGAGAGGAUGUGACGAAAGCGGUUGCCUCUUCUUCUCAUCGGCUAAGCUAGGCCUCCAAGAAAUCGGUAGCAUGUAUCUUGUCCAUAUUCAAGGAAAUGGAGAUGAAAGCUGGUUUCCUUAUGAACAAAGAGAAGACUGCUGCAGACUGCAGUUCUUUUCAAUGUCAGUGAUUUUAAAAAGUAGAGGCAGAUUGUAUUGACUGGCUGGAAAGAAGAGUCACUACCUAUGUCCUAUUUAGGUGUAUCCUUGUUCAUGAGAAAGAUGGAGGAGAGCAUGUGUACAGGCCUCAUCAUUAAGUUUGAAAGGACACUAGCGACCUGGAAGGCCAGAUUGCUGUAUUAUGCGGAAAGAUUGUGUUUAAUCAAAUACAACCUGACCUCAAUUGCAAUAUAUUGGAUUAUGGUGUUUAGUAUUCCCAAAAAAGUGAUUCUCGUCCUAAAAUGAAGCAUCGCUCGCUUCCUUUGGGGUAUCUGCAAUGCCCAAACAGGUCUCCGCCUGAUUUCUUGGAAGAGCAUAAGCAAACCAAGGGAGGAAGGAGGGGCAGGUAUAAUACCUCUAGAAGAGUCCGAUCGGGCUCUCCUGGCUAGUAGAGUGUGUGACAUUCUUAACAAAGAUCUCACAUCGGCACAUGGCUGAACCAAAGGUACCUGGCCCCUCAUAAAAGCCUAUGGACAGCUAAAUACCCGUGGAAGGGAUCGUGGGUAUGGCACAGUCUAGGGUGGGGAUGGAAUUGGAUAGAACAAAAAGUUCAGUGGAAGAUCGGUAAUGGAACUUUUAUUAAGUUCUGGGCUGAUAGUUGGGAUAACCAUAUAUUGAUGGAAGAGCUUAAUGUAGAGGAGUUUAUCAGAUGGAGACUGGACCGAAUAUCUAUCUAUUUCACAGGCGAGGUCCUAUUAUGGGUCUCUGUCCAAUGCUAGGGUGCAAGGCAUCCUUGAGAGGCUGCAAUUGAACGGCAAUAAGGAUCUGUUUGUGUGGAUGGUGGAAGAUAAGGCUACAAUCAAAGGGAACAAUCAAAUGGAAAGAUUUUUGGAAGAAGUUAAGAACUCAAAGGUGAGAAUCAAUCUUGGAAGAAAAUGAUAAGGAACCAUGAUGCCCCUUCAAAAGCACGCUGGUUCUCCUUCGUUGCAUGCCAUAGCCGCCUGCCCACAAUGGAUAGAAUCCAAAGAUGGGGCUGCCAGUUAGCGAAUAGGUGCGCUCUAUGCGAGAGAGCUGAGGAAUAGAAUCAUCAUGUCAUUAUUAGCUGUCCAUGUGCCCAACAGGUGUGGAGCUGGGUGAUUGGUAACUUUGGUAGGGAAAUAAUUCCAUGGUCUAACAUUGAUAAAGAAUUUCAGCUAUGGAUGAAGACGCCCUUGAAAUUACUAUGGCUUCAAAAGUGCUGGGCUCUAACCUUUCAAGUAGUAGGGUGUCAAUUAUGGGUAUCUAGAAACUGGAGGUAUUAUGAGUAUGAAGAAACACUUCUCGAUAACAUCAAACAUAAAGUUUGUUCUAUGUGCUGUGACAACUAUAAAAGUGUGGAUUGGGAGACGAAUGAUAGGAUUCUUAUGAAUGUCUGGGUAAACUCAGGUGUUUUCUGUUGUAGAAAUGAGGAGAUAGAAAUGGACCCAAUUGUGAUUCAAAUCUUGACCAAUGUAGAAGCAGGUCCAGGGAAGUUUUCUCGAUCUGGUUCAGCGCUAGAGAAAGUCAGCUGAAGUGGAAGUCGGUAUGGGCUAGUGAAGGGAAUGAUACAUUGGAAUUGGAGCUUCUGAACUGCUGGUUGCCAGAAGUUGGGGGCAGGGUGGAGAGAGCAGUUAUUAUGCCAAACAGAAAUGCAAAGACGAGACUUGCGAGCAUGAAGAGUGGAAGGCGCGAGUGCCAGAGAGAUGGCAGGAUCUUGCUAAGGACAUACACAAUUUGACUUGUUUGGAUGGCUUUCCCACCUUAAUGGCUGGCACCAUUUUGAACAGAUAUGGCUACCGAGAUGGCAGGGAUGAUGGGGGAUAUAUCGUUGUUAUGGUUUGCGCUGUUGCCUAUUUGGGGUGAGGGUAGCAGUGUAGUUCCUACUGUCUUGUAUUAGUUUUUGAGCUACUGAGUUUGGUAGUUGGGGCUUGCUACUGCUGAUGCGUGUUUUGCAUCCCCAUUUUUUUUUUGUUGUGCUCCUUGUAUAUAUAAUAUCUUUUUGAAUAAAAUUAGCGAGGCCAUCUCCCAGCAAUCCUUUAUUGUAA